ACGCCCAAAUAGGUGGAGCCUGUACCGGUCAGAGGUGGUAGAAAUGGUUUCGCAAGCAGUUGGAUAUUCAAAUCGAGCAAUGUCUCGGGCGCAUGUAGCAACCCAGACCCGUCUGAGUGUGGUGUCCCAUUCCCGUUUCUAAUAAAUAAAUGUGCCAAUUUAGCGUUGGAAUAUCUUUGGCCUUGAAGAGCCUGCCCUUGGUUCGUAGGGUAAGCCAGCUCCGACCCGACCUAGGAGCCAGUCCUUUUUGUCAAGUGUUUUUCUAGAUGAACUGCAGGAUGCAACCUGUUAUCGUAUCCGAUCCUUCUCCUGUCAAGCUACAGGCGGCACUAGUUUUCUCGACAUUAAGGGCGACAUUCGAUCAUGAGGCAAACCAUCCCGGAUGGGGUGCACUCCUCUCCUUCCAUAGCUAUUCAUGGAACAGGGGUAUAAGCUUAUUAACGAAGACUGCCUGUCAGACCUUGUCCAAGAAAAUUGCAGGACAGUACUUUGUCUUCUCUAAGUCGCUGAAGGGUGUAGCCUUCCAUGUGGAUCUAGCAACUGUCUGCAGAGACGGAUCAGUCACAGUAGCAGAAAGUUAAGCACCGAACAAAUAAUUGCAGCACCACCGCGAAGAUGGAUGCCUGGUACUAUCAAUAGUAUCGAUGGGGGUGUCACCGUCUAUUCGGCGGAUCUUAGCCGAUGGUGCUUGAGGUCACGCUCGCUCCCGAGUCCGACGCUCCCUAUGGGCGACGUUGCAGCCACAGCCACGACCUUCCUUUCCAAAUAAGGAUGGACCCUCUUAAUGCUCCGCAUAUUGUAUGGCACGCCGAUGUCCUUUGAGGUAUGAUGUAGAUUGUUGUGAUUAAUAUCAAAAAUAUCUUUCAGGCUAUCUACCAUCACCCUGGGUUAAGAGCACUCAUCGCCUACCCCGAAGUGACCUAAUCGUAUAAAGCGGCGAGAAGACGCGGUUCUCUGUCUUGCACAGCUAUCGCUGGACUGGACCCGGCUGACACUGCCAGGCAAGAGCACAUCCCCAGAACUCUGACGCCUCUCGAUCAAUUUCGCUAUCAUGGUAUUAACCAUGCAGUUGAUUCUCUAAGUGGAGUUCUCUUGGGGACAAUGAAAAGCAGAACACUGGACUUCCACACCUAAGGACCAGAGAAGUAUUUCAGACACUUGGUGGCAGCACAAAACAUGCUCGGCCAGUAGUACCUAUGUGCCUAUCUAGACCACCGUCUUCCUCACGCCUUGAUGUCUGCAACACUAUCUGAAGUCGACAACUGGGAAUGCAAAUCUUCCAGGGAAUAUAGUCUUGUCUUCCGCCGUGUCUCCGUACUCGGUAAACUUUGCCGGUUCUUCAGCUUUUGUGGUGCGCAUACUCGCGAGCCAUUUUCGGAGGGAAUCGGCCCACAUUGCUAGCGCAUCGGCUAAUGUUAAGGUUUCCUCGAUUGUAAUUGAUGAAGAAAUUGCUAGUCACAUUGCCCUAUCCUACCAGAGAGGCUCUGAGUUCAGCCAUUUGAGUGCCAGGUAAUCCGUAAUCAUGUCAAAGCGGUACCCUACGAGGUAACAUGGCAGCUUCCUGAAUGACAACACUAUCGUUAAGCACUCCUUCUCAGAAGCGGAAUGGAUCUUCUCUUGCUUUCAGCAUCUGGCGGAUCGCAUAAUCUAUCACUUGCUCCUGUCCCUCUAUCGUCUGCGUUAACCUGCACCAAGGCUACACUCACAAGCGGCUCGCACGAUGAAUUUGAGGAAAAGUCGGAACAAGCUGAAACAUGCGCAGUCGUUCUUCCCUCGUUUAAACGACGCCCUGCUUCCUGUUCUCUACCCAACGUCCAUUUCUUGCUCUUCUUCAGGAGCGCCGUCAACGGCAGACUACAAAACGCCUUUACGACGAAAUUAUAGGAGCUGGGAGUACAAGGGUCGAACAGCUGUUGCGAACAACAUGUAUGUUAUCUCGUAAAUAAACCUAGUCAACGGGGGAUUUACCAUAAACUACGUUUAAAACGACAAUAACUUAUAAUAAGCUGCCAGGUUACAUAAAUCCAGAGUUUCUCUAUAGAUAUUUUAAGAACUUCCCGAUAGGAAAUGAGAUAAGUGAAAGGUUUAAGCAGAGCGAAUAGGAUUAUUAAUUUUUUGUUGUGAGUCGUAAUGUAAACGCAAUAAAUUAAUAUGCAUAA